GGGGCAUUAGCUCAGUUGGUAGAGCAGUUGACUUUUAAUCAAUUGGUCGCAGGUUCGAAUCCCGCAUGCCCCACCA
rnacentral:tRNA from 4 species